AGUGAACGCUGGCGGUAGGCCUAACACAUGCAAGUCGAACGGCAGCACAGUAAGAGCUUGCUCUUACGGGUGGCGAGUGGCGGACGGGUGAGGAAUACACCGGAAUCUACUUUUUCGUGGGGGAUAACGUAGGGAAACUUACGCUAAUACCGCAUACGACCUACGGGUGAAAGCAGGGGAUCUUCGGACCUUGCGCGAUUGAAUGAGCCGAUGUCGGAUUAGCUAGUUGGCGGGGUAAAGGCCCACCAAGGCGACGAUCCGUAGCUGGUCUGAGAGGAUGAUCAGCCACACUGGAACUGAGACACGGUCCAGACUCCUACGGGAGGCAGCAGUGGGGAAUAUUGGACAAUGGGCGCAAGCCUGAUCCAGCCAUACCGCGUGGGUGAAGAAGGCCUUCGGGUUGUAAAGCCCUUUUGUUGGGAAAGAAAAGCAGCAGGUUAAUACCCCGCUGUUCUGACGGUACCCAAAGAAUAAGCACCGGCUAACUUCGCG
rnacentral:rRNA from 1 species